rnacentral:lncRNA from 1 species
CUUGAUCAGUCAGAAAUGAAAACAAAGGACUAUGAAUGCUCAUGUCCUGUUUGGAUUUGUAUGCUUUUUGAGAUUUUUGUUGAAUAGAAACACUCUGAUAUUCUUUCAUGGCUACUGCAAUGUUGAAGUGCAUAUAAUGAGCUCUAGAAUGUCAUGCAUAGUCCUGGUGCUGUUAAUUUGGUACUGUUAAUUUUGAAUGCUUUGAAAUGUUUGAAAUGGCUUUGUUAAUUUGGUACUGUUAAUACUUUGAAAUGUUUCAAAUGGUGCUGUUACUACUUCAACUUUGAAUGCUUUGAAAUGUUUGCUCACUGAUAAAUGUUUGAAAUGGUGCUGUUAAUUUGGUACUGUUAACUUUGAAUGCUUUGAAAUGUUUGAAAUGAGUUAACACCCAAGUACAUUUACUGCUAAUUUAAUCUCCAAGUUGGUGUGGAAUUAUGAAACUAAGAGAGUAUUUUCCUAUAUGUUG